GACGAACGCUGGCGGCGUGCUUAACACAUGCAAGUCGAACGGAAAGGCCCUGCUUUUGUGGGGUGCUCGAGUGGCGAACGGGUGAGUAACACGUGAGUAACCUGCCCUUGACUUUGGGAUAACUUCAGGAAACUGGGGCUAAUACCGGAUAGGAGCUCCUGCUGCAUGGUGGGGGUUGGAAAGUUUCGGCGGUUGGGGAUGGACUCGCGGCUUAUCAGCUUGUUGGUGGGGUAGUGGCUUACCAAGGCUUUGACGGGUAGCCGGCCUGAGAGGGUGACCGGCCACAUUGGGACUGAGAUACGGCCCAGACUCCUACGGGAGGCAGCAGUGGGGAAUAUUGCACAAUGGGGGGAAGCCUGAUGCAGCAGCGCCGCGUGCGGGAUGACGGCCUUCGGGUUGUAAACCGAUUUCGCCUGUGACGAAGCGUGAGUGACGGUAAUGGGUAAAGAAGCACCGGCUAACUACGUG
rnacentral:rRNA from 1 species